rnacentral:rRNA from 1 species
ACGAACGCUGGCGGCGUGCCUAAUACAUGCAAGUCGAGCGGACAGAUGGGAGCUUGCUCCCUGAUGUUAGCGGCGGACGGGUGAGUAACACGUGGGUAACCUGCCUGUAAGACUGGGAUAACUCCGGGAAACCGGGGCUAAUACCGGAUGCUUGUUUGAACCGCAUGGUUCAAACAUAAAAGGUGGCUUCGGCUACCACUUACAGAUGGACCCGCGGCGCAUUAGCUAGUUGGUGAGGUAAUGGCUCACCAAGGCAACGAUGCGUAGCCGACCUGAGAGGGUGAUCGGCCACACUGGGACUGAGACACGGCCCAGACUCCUACGGGAGGCAGCAGUAGGGAAUCUUCCGCAAUGGACGAAAGUCUGACGGAGCAACGCCGCGUGAGUGAUGAAGGUUUUCGGAUCGUAAAGCUCUGUUGUUAGGGAAGAACAAGUGCCGUUCAAAUAGGGCGGCACCUUGACGGUACCUAACCAGAAAGCCACGGCUAACUACGUGCCAGCAGCCGCGGUAAUACGUAGGUGGCAAGCGUUGUCCGGAAUUAUUGGGCGUAAAGGGCUCGCAGGCGGUUUCUUAAGUCUGAUGUGAAAGCCCCCGGCUCA